rnacentral:lncRNA from 1 species
CCGCGGCCAAACUGCUUCCAGGUCUGGCCUCUUAAAGCCGGGCUCCCUCUUCCGCUCCGGAAGCCCCGCGCCCCGCGCCCCACGCCUCUCCGCGCUGCUCCUUCCGGACUCUGACCCUCCCGGGAAGCUGAGCCGCUGGCACUCGCUGCUGGCCACUUCGGGACCUGCCUCAGGCUUCCUCCGUGUGCUGCUUGUGCUGCUCCCGAAGGAGCCUGAACUUAGGCCUAAACGCUCACCUCACCUAAGAACUUAAGGUGCAGAAUCUGCUCGCAUCGCGUCCUCAGCUUUGAAUGAGUGUGUAGCCUCCGGAGGCCUAAAAAUGUUGCCUAGCUUUAA